AAUCAACGCUGGCGGCGUGCCUCAGACAUGCAAGUCGAACGCGAAAGUUUCCUUCGGGGAACAAGUAGAGUGGCGCACGGGUGAGUAACACGUAGGUAAUCUACCUUUGGAUGGGGAAUAACAACCGGAAACGGUUGCUAAUACCGCAUAAUGCAGCGGCACCUAAUGGUGACAGUUGUUAAAGCGGGGGAUCGAAAGACCUCGCGUCUGAAGAGGAGCCUGCGGCGGAUCAGCAGUUGGUAAGGUAAUGGCUUACCAAGGCGACGAUCCGUAACCGGCCUGAGAGGGCGGUCGGUCACACUGACACUGACAUACGGGUCAGACUCCUACGGGAGGCAGCAGUCGGGAAUUUGGGCAAUGGGCGAAAGCCUGACCCAU
rnacentral:rRNA from 1 species